rnacentral:lncRNA from 1 species
AAGAUUGGCAGCUGAGCUAACAACUGUUGCCAACCUUCUUUUUUUUUCUUUUUUUCUGCUUUUUGUCCCCAAAUCCCACAGGUACAUAGUUGUAUAUUUUAGUUGUAGGUCCUCCUAGGUGUGGCAUGUGGGAUGCUGCCUCAACAUGAUCUAAUGAGUGGUGCCAUGUCCACGCCCAGGAUCCGAACCAGCGAAACCCUGGGCCACCGAAGCAGAGCAUGUGAACUUAACCACUUGGCCACGGGGCCGGCCCCUGGCUGUUUCUUAUAAAGUAAAAUAUACACAUACCAUCUGACUCAGCCAUCAUAUCCUAGACCACUUGCUCCGGGACUAGCCCGCUGCCAUGUCAGAAGGACAUCCAAGCAGCUCUAGUCAGGCAAGGAACGCAGGCUGCCUGCCAACAGCCAUGUGAGUGUGACAUUUGCAAGUGACUCCUCCAACCCCAGUCAAGCGUUCAGAGGACUGAAGCCCCAGCUGACUUCACUGCAACCUCCUGAGAGAUAUUGAGCCAGAACCAUUCAGCCAAGCCAUUUCUGAAUUCCUAACCAACAGCAACUGUGAGAUAAAAUGUCUACUGUUUUAAGGUGCUAAGCUUUGGAGUAAUAUGUAACCCAGCAAUCGAUAAUGAAUACACCCAGGAAGAAUGAAGAUUUUUUUUUAAAAAAAAGCACAUCUAGAAAUUAAGAAGAAUUCUUACAAGCAUCAGACAGAAAGAACAAGCUUCUUACAAAAGAAACAAAAGUAGAUGAAUAUUUCUUUCUUAUCAGUGAUAGUGGAAGCUGGAAGUGAACAACUACAAUUUUUGGACAGGCAAAGAUUCCGUUUACCUAUGGCACCCUAUUUUCAAAAAUAAUGGAAGAAAUUCUCCAACCUUUUAAGAAUGGAAUAGAAUUUAACCACGACUACACCAAGAUUUUAGGAGUAAGAAAAAGAGUACACAAAAAGCUAUUUUGCAAUAUUUAAGUUGUCUAAAUGAACAGAGACAGUGUGAAUGAGAAUCUGUAAUAUAUGUUGUAAAAUUAGUCUUGAAAUAAUUUCCACAUACAUAGGUUAGUAUUAAACUUCCUAAUAUACAUAAUUCAUCGUUCAACUAUUUACUUGUAACUUACUAUGCAUAUUUACUUAAAAAAAUUUUCAGCAAGUUCAUUGACCUUUGAUGCACACAAAUAGAACUUCUAAGUUAGAACUACCAUUCCUUAAGGAGUUGCAAAAAAUUUCCUGAAAUAUUG